CCCAACAACCGCCUCUUUUUACCAUCCGCUUUUUCAGUCCCACAGUUUCUUGCAGGCCCAACAAAACCACAUAGACCUCCACUGUUUAUCAGAGUGUCGCUCCGUGCUUAUCUCCUCCUUACAAGCACUUAUACCAAUAAAGACAUGUCUCUGCGUCCCCGAGCUGCACCACGACCAGUUCCGUAUGUCCUGCGUAUGCGGGUCGCAAACCUGGACGACAAAGACUUCAUCGAGAUAGACUACGACGAAAACAAAUUGAACUAUCGUGACCUGAUCGAAACCUGCUGCGAGGAGCUGGGUGUUGAUAAAAUUGACAUCGAGAAAAUACGAAAAUUGCCCGAUGUUACGAUACGUCGUGAUGAAGAUGUUCAGCGGUUCAAUAAGUUGGAACAUUUAGAGGUGGUCAUUGUGCCUUCGAGAAUGCAAAGGCAGUAUAACUAUCAGUUGUAGAGUUAUGAGGUUUUGAUAAAUUUGACGUGGUUCUGGGUGGGUCCUUGGAAAUGAGAAUAGUAGAUUUCAAUUUGUGAUUGUGUGUAAUUUUUAGUUCGACUAAUCGGUGAUUUGUCAUUGUGGAUUCAAUUUUAAUAAAGGCGCUGAAGAAUU